rnacentral:rRNA from 1 species
GACGAACCGUGCGAACGUUGUUCGGAAUCACUGGGCUUAAAGGGCGCGUAGGCGGGUUCGCAAGUCUGUGGUGAAAGCCUCCAGCUUAACUGGAGAAGUGCCGUGGAUACUGCGAAUCUUGAGGAGGGUAGGGGCGUCUGGAACGGUCGGUGGAGCGGUGAAAUGCGUUGAUAUCGACCGGAACUCCGGUGGCGAAGGCGAGGCGCUGGACCCUUCUGACGCUGAGGCGCGAAAGCCAGGGGAGCCAAACGGGG